rnacentral:rRNA from 1 species
AUGAGGCAACUUCACCAAAGUCACAAUCUCUCAUGGUUACUGAUAGGAGACCUUAAUGAAAUCCAAUUUCUCCAUGAGAAGGAGGGAGGUAAUCCCAGACCUCUUCAGUAUAUGCAAGCGUUUCAAGAUGCCAUCGAUGAUUGUGAACUACAUGAUCUAGGAUUUGUUGGGGACCGAUUCACAUGGUACAGAGGGGGGAUUAGGGAGCGACUUGAUAGGGGAUUGGUGAAUGACUCAUGGUCAAAUCUAUUUCCCCAAGCAUCACUGGAAAAUUUGGAGUUCAACCACUCAGACCAUCGCCCGAUGUUACUGGAUACUAACAAUUAUGGUCGUUGGGCCAAUGGGGCUAGUAUACACCCAAAAAGGUUUGAGGCCUGA